CUCCCCACUGUACCGCCCCAUAUAAACUUCACCCCAGUUAGUCUCGCGCUCUCUCGCCAUUGUUCGAGGUAGCCUGGCAGCUCCUGGCCCCAAUAAAGCCUUGCUCGGGUUUCGGCUGGUUUUCUUUCAGUGUUACCCUCAUGUGGAGGACCCUAGAGGAUGCCAUGUAUAGUAGAAAACCCACUGCACUGCCGGCCCUUAGAGAAGCGACUGAUAAUGCUUGUGCAGCGAUCUCAAUGGCCAGGGCUCCCCAAGCAGCAGUUCACUGCACUAAUAACCGUCUGGAAGCUCAUGGUUACCACUCUGAGCAGCUCUCGUAAUUGCAGAGGCCAAAGGCCUACUGAAGACAUUCCCUGCAUAUCAGAUGACAGCAACCAAACCGGUCUAUUUGUGGGUGCAUCUGCAGCGUGAGCAAAGUCAGGACAGACAGAUGCGUCCCUAGGCGGCUGGUGUACAUCACCAUGCAGCUGUAACCUCCUGCUUGCCAUAAAGAUGCCAAUCUGUCAACUCUGCACAGGUAAGAUGAAAUCUCUUAACAUCUUGAUUUGCAUUUCUUUGAUUAGAGCAUGGUUAAUUAUCUUUAAUGUUUAUUAGAAAUUUCAGUUCUCUUGCUUUCUGAUGUUGAAUUACCCGUUUUUGCCCACUUAUCUCAGUGCUCUUAUCUUUUCCAGUCUUUCUGUAGAAUUUUUUCCGUGCUUUUCCUGUCCAUUGUAAUAUAUUCAGUUUUUGUUAUCUCUUUAUUUCUACCCUUUUAGGUUUCCUGCUCCACUUUUAACUUGCAGAGGUUUUAUCCACGCAGUUAGAGUCAUGUCUACUUCCAAUGCUGUAAUUUGUUACAGAAGAAAUCACUGCGAGGAGUAGAUGUCACGGCAAUUUGUUGUUACAGAACUUAAGGUGCACUUGAGAUAAAUAUGUCACUUGUUAAGAUGGAGACAAUGAUACCUACAGCACAGGACUGAGAUCAGCAUUAUGACACCUAAUAGGGUAGAAAUGGCAGGGAAAGUGCGGCCUGACUUUCCUGUUUUCUUUCUUCGCCCUUUCCUAGAGAACAGGUGAAACACAGCUCUGGUACUAGUUUGCACUCUGACCAGCAAUGCAGGGAGGUCCUUUUCCCCUACAGCUUGCCAGUAUCUGUUGCUAUUUGUGUUUUUUUAUGACAGUCGAUCCAACUAGGGAAAGAAGAAAUCACAGAGUUGUUUUCACUUGCAUUACCCUAAUAGCUAAAGGUGAUGAACAUUUUUUUCAUAUGCUAUUGGCUAUUUGUAC
rnacentral:lncRNA from 1 species